rnacentral:rRNA from 2 species
GAAGUUGGGGCUUUGCCUGCUAUCUCUUACCCAUGUCUUUUGAGUACCUUCGUUUCCUCGGCGGGUUCGCCCGCCGAUUGGACAAUUUAAACCAUUUGCAGUUGCAAUCAGCGUCUGAAAAAACUUAAUAGUUACAACUUUCAACAACGGAUCUCUUGGUUCUGGCAUCGAUGAAGAACGCAGCGAAAUGCGAUAAGUAGUGUGAAUUGCAGAAUUCAGUGAAUCAUCGAAUCUUUGAACGCACAUUGCGCCCCUUGGUAUUCCAUGGGGCAUGCCUGUUCGAGCGUCAUUUGUACCUUCAAGCUCUGCUUGGUGUUGGGUGUUUGUCUCGCCUCUGCGCGCAGACUCGCCUCAAAACAAUUGGCAGCCGGCGUAUUGAUUUCGGAGCGCAGUACAUCUCGCGCUUUGCACUCAUAAACGACGACGUCCAAAAGUACAUUUUUACACUCUUGACCUCGGAUCAGGUAGGGAU